AUCAGAUCUCGUGAGAACUCACUCACUACCACAAGAACAGCAUGGGGGAAACUGCUCCUAUGAUCUGAUCACCUCCCUCCUUCAACACGUGGAGAUUACAAUUUCAGAUGAGAUUUGAGUGAAACCGUAUCUAUUAGCAAUUGCUGUUCUUUGUCCUUUCCCACUUUCCCUACUUCUCUCCUUCUUGCCUUUCCAUCUCUCUCUCUCUCUGCCUACCUCCUUCCUUUCUUCGUUCUAUAUUUAAAUAUUAUUAUUUCUGUUUAUGUUGGAAUCAGAAGGCCCUGCUCCCCCUUGGUUUCAACCAUGCUAUUAAUAGAUUUUCAGUUUCUUUUUCUCAGCCUUGAACAGAUAUCCUACAAGAGGCAAAUUUUCAGGAAAGAAGGAAGAAAGGAAACUAUAAAAAUAAUCAUCUUGAGACCGUAUCUUUGUUGGCUCUGAAUCUUAUAAAAGCUCAUAAAAACUACUUGGCUCUGGAAUUAAAAGGAUCAUUCAAGUGUCCUUGGACUUGCAGAGAAAGAGCAUAUACAGCUGUUAUCCAGACUUUUGUCUCUAUAAAAUGGGAAAAUAUCUUCUGUGAUAGUCGCUUCUUUCACUAUGAAUUUCUGGUUACUUCACUGCUAACAAGAACUAUAAUGCCAGAGAAGAGAUAGCUUCAAUGAGCCUGCAUGAUUGCUUUUCCAACUAAAAUGAGUAGAAAAUGAAAACACUUUAAAUGAAGUGUCUCAAAUAAACAUUUAAUCUGGGAUAAGACAGCAACCGCAUAUAUACCACCAUAUCAAAUAUUGAAAGAGCAUUUAUCGAAGAUUUGAAAGACUCAUUUGUGGGAAAAUAAAUGUAGCUCUAAAAGUGAGCUGCUGAGAGUAUAUAUGUAAAACCACAUUUAAGCGGCAUACAAUUAACAUAAAUUUAUAUGAGAAAAAAUGAAAAACAUGGUGAGAUUUUGGUGAAUUAUAAUAUUUGAACAAGGGACUGUUUUCUUUUUCUUCAAACAGGAAGCUAGCUGUGACUGCGAGUUCCUUAAUGAACUGUAAAUUUCAAAAAACAAAAACACAAACAAAAAAAUGAGGUUAUAUAAAUGCAUUAUGUUAGGAAAAGUAGUUAAAUUAUUUUCUCAGUUUCUUUUAUAUCUUGAAUACCAUUUCCUUUUCUCUUUCAAAUGCUUAAAUACCUAUCUCCCCAGCCCUUCUACUUUUAUCUUUCUUUACUGUCUUCUCUAUUUUAAGUACUGCUUUUCAUUUUUUCCCCAAUGUUUGCAUAUUUUCUGACAUAAAUAUUUGUUUCUGUCCCUUGUUCAUUAUUUGGAAUCCAUCUCACCUCACCUGAACCUCUUAUUUCUAGCCACAUGAUUAAUUUUUGCUAUUAUAUCCAAGGAUUAUAAACACUUGUGUAACUACUAAAACCAUGACCCUAAUGGGGAGACAGAAAAUCUGUAUUUAUAAUAAAGAAAUAAUAUUGUCAUUAGAGUUCUUUAGAAAUCAUAAGGGAUUUAAUAAAAUUUUAUAGUAAUAAUAAUUGAUUUUAUUAGUAGUAUUAUUAGAAAUGCUGAUGUCACAUCACACAUGUCUAGAAUAACUUUCUAACAGGUUAACCAAGUAACUAACUAUAACUAUAUAUAAUACAUAACUCUAACUAUAUUUAAAGUGAUUUCAGUUACAUAAGGAUGGGCUAGUUGAAUUAAAAUAUAUUGUAUAUACUUUCCAAAAAAACUAAAUAACAAAUACACUGUUGAAUGAUAAGCAUGUCAAAAUCUUAAGCGAUUUCUUUUUCUCUUAAUAGUGCUGUAUUUACCAGACAGAGAGAAGGUGAUUACCAAUGAAUACAUUUAUGGAAUAAAAAUGGAAGCUGUCAUGACUAAUUCCAAAGCGUAAAGAUGUUUGCAAAAUAGAGUUUCCAAAUGAUUUACUUUUGUUGCCAAUUUUUUUGGCUAAUAUAAGUUUUACAUUAUUUUUUGCUGGUUCAGCAUUCAGAAGCUCAAUUAAAGUUAAAGAAAAUGGAAUUUAAAAUGACAAAAUGGCUCUACUUUUCUGAUAUGCUAUUAUCAAGACAAACAGGCAUAUAGUUCCUUUUUGCUUAUUUCACACAUAAAAUCUUCAGUCACAAUGUGGUUUAUUGUGUUCUUACAUUUUCCUAUAUAGAUAGUUUGUAUCUACACUAUUAAAGUUUCUAAAUCUUUUAAAUAUUCUUAGAUUCAUAAACUAUUUUCCAACAGUUUGUAAUGGAGUGCAUGUUAUUCUGUACAAUGAUAUUAUUUCUGAUGAUAAAACAGAAAUUAAAUUCUAAUUAUGAAGCAUA